UGGGGAAUAUUGCACAAUGGGCGCAAGCCUGAUGCAGCCAUGCCGCGUGUAUGAAGAAGGCCUUCGGGUUGUAAAGUACUUUCAGCGGGGAGGAAGGGAGUAAAGUUAAUACCUUUGCUCAUUGACGUUACCCGCAGAAGAAGCACCGGCUAACUCCGUGCCAGCAGCCGCGGUAAUACGGAGGGUGCAAGCGUUAAUCGGAAUUACUGGGCGUAAAGCGCACGCAGGCGGUUUGUUAAGUCAGAUGUGAAAUCCCCGGGCUCAACCUGGGAACUGCAUCUGAUACUGGCAAGCUUGAGUCUCGUAGAGGGGGGUAGAAUUCCAGGUGUAGCGGUGAAAUGCGUAGAGAUCUGGAGGAAUACCGGUGGCGAAGGCGGCCCCCUGGACGAAGACUGACGCUCAGGUGCGAAAGCGUGGGAGCAAACAGG
rnacentral:rRNA from 1 species